CCAGAAAAGGCCAGUCCCAGGCUUGAGUAAACGCUCCAGGCUCAUUGGUGAGGAGAAGGGGCCAAGGCCCCUACCAGGUCCAGGUGAAAUGUAUGGGCUCAGUUGGAAGGAGGAGAAGGAGACAGGUGGAUGCAGGAGGGGCUACGACUGAAAACAUGCCAUUUUAACCGGAGUCUGGCCCUGCCUUUCUUGAUGGAAAACAAAAGAAGGGGAGUGAGAGAGAAGGCUGGGGAAUAGAGAUGAACAAGACACAGGCCCUGCCCCCGAGGAGUCCACAGGCCAGUGGGUGAAGCAGGCAGAUAAUAACCACCGCAAUACGACCUAAUAAAUGUGGUGGCUGUGCUGUGUA